GACCAAGGAGUUUAUCGUGUACGCAAGUCAUUGGGUGAAUAAAACCCAAAGGCGAAAUGAAAGUAAAGAGUAGAGUCUAUAAUUGAGAAUUUAUUCUCUUUUAUUUCUCUCUUUAGGGAAGAUGAAAAUUAAAUUUAUAGUCUAUUUUAGAUUAUUUAUUUAUAUUUUUCGCAUUCCCAGGGCGCUUGUUUCACGCUUUGCGUGUCGAUGCGCACCCAGAGCGUACACGCUGAUACCCGAAAGAUGGUGAACUAUGCCUGGCCAGGACGAAGCCAGGGGAAACCCUGGUGGAGGUCCGCAGCGAUUCUGACGUGCAAAUCGAUCGUCGGAGCUGGGUAUAGGGGCGAAAGACCAAUCGAACCAUCUAGUAGCUGGUUCCCUCUGAAGUUUCCCUCAGGAUAGCUUGCGCUCGUCUUAUGAGUCUCAUCCGGUAGAGCGAAUGAUUAGAGGCAUUGGGGUCGAAACGACCUCAACCUAUUCUCAAACUCCAAAUAGAUGAGACCCCCGGCUUUCUUAAAAUUGAAGCCGUGGGAUUAGGAUCAGAGUGCCAAGUGGGCCAAUUUUGGUAAGCAG
rnacentral:rRNA from 1 species